rnacentral:rRNA from 1 species
UGGGGAAUAUUGCACAAUGGUGGAAACCCUGAUGCAGCGACGCCGCGUGAGCGAUGAAGUAUUUCGGUAUGUAAAGCUCUAUCAGCAGGGAAGAAAAUGACGGUACCUGACUAAGAAGCACCGGCUAAAUACGUGCC